UACGGGGGUGCGAGCGUUGUCCGGAAUCACUGGGCGUAAGGGGCGCGUAGGUGGUUUGAUAAGGGUGUGGUGAAAGUCCGGGGCUCAACCCCGGAUCUGCCGUGCCGACUGUCAAACUCGAGGACUGUAGAGGCAGACGGAAUUCCGGGUGUAGCGGUGGAAUGCGUAGAGAUCCGGAGGAAGACCGGUGGCGAAGGCGGUCUGCUGGGCAGUUCUGACACUGAGGCGCGACAGCGUGGGGAGCA
rnacentral:rRNA from 1 species